rnacentral:rRNA from 1 species
UACGAAGGGGGCUAGCGUUGCCCGGAAUCACUGGGCGUAAAGGGUGCGUAGGCGGGUCUUUAAGUCAGGGGUGAAAUCCUGGAGCUCAACUCCAGAACUGCCUUUGAUACUGAGGAUCUUGAGUCCGGGAGAGGUGAGUGGAACUGCGAGUGUAGAGGUGAAAUUCGUAGAUAUUCGCAAGAACACCAGUGGCGAAGGCGGCUCACUGGCCCGGUACUGACGCUGAGGCACGAAAGCGUGGGGAGCAAACAGG